rnacentral:lncRNA from 1 species
GAGGAAAAAAAAGAGAUUCUCAAAUCUAAUAGCGCAUCAUCUAUUGGUGGCGCGGGUAAUACUAAAUAGAACCCAAUCAGAGCGCCUAUAAUGAACGUAUACACAUCUCUCAAUCGAAGUCGCAUUAGGAGGAAGCUUUUGUACAAUGUCUCUUAUCAAAUGGUGAAAUUGAAAGAGAUUGCGUUGGAUUUGAUGGGCUUAGACCCCAGUUACUAGCCCAGCAAACAUCCAUAAUUCAUAGCAUGUUUUUCAAUUAAGCACAAAAAAAAAAAGAAAAAACUUGUUCGGCCAGCAAAAAGUCAAUAAUUUAGUCCAAUUUGUUUUCACCCUGCGGAUGGGCCGAAACACCUCCAAGCCCACUAAACC